GGGUCAGUAGGUUGGUCGUGCCACCGGUACGUACUGGUCUCACUGAUUCCUCCUUCCUGAAGAACCGUAAUGCCAUUAAUUUGGCGUUGCGGGAAACAGGACUGUUACUUUGAAAAAAUUAGAGUGUUUAAAGCAAGCUAACGCUUGAAUACAUUAGCAUGGAAUAAUGAAAUAGGACGAUCGAUCCUAUUUUGUUGGUUUCUAGGAUUGACGUA
rnacentral:rRNA from 1 species